rnacentral:lncRNA from 1 species
GGCAUGUGUACUCUGCUUCUGCAGAAGUGAGGAGCGCCUGUGACCCUGUUUAUACUCUGGAGAUGUGCAUGACUGGUUUGGACAGGGAGAUGGCUUCUGUAUUCUACAAAACCCACUCAAGCUCAGCAGUUAAAAUGACUGACACUUCUGGUAUUAGAAAGAUUCUUCCAGAUUCUGAAAUAUGUGAUUUUGAAUUUGAUCCAUGUGGUUAUUCCAUGAAUGCCAUUGAAGGAGCUGCAAUUUCCACCAUUCAUGUCACGCCUGAAGAUGGUUUUAGUUAUGCUAGCUUUGAAACGAUGGGAUAUAAUCCAAAAGAUGUGAACCUGAGCCAGCUGAUUGAAAGGGUGUUGUCUUGUUUCCAACCGAAUGAGUUCUCUGUAGCGGUGCAUGCUGACAUCUCGGGUAAGUUACUUGAGCGAAAUUGCCUUCUGGAUGUAAAGGGAUACUGUUGUGAAGAGAGAAGCAACGAAGAACUUGGUAUGUGUGGUUCCAU